GGCGUAGGGCGCAAGCGUUGUCCGGAUUUAUUGGGCGUAAAGAGCUCGUAGGCGGCUUGUUGCGUCGUCCGUGAAAACCCGUGGCUCAACUGCGGGCUUGCGGACGAUACGGGCAGGCUGGAGUUCGGUAGGGGAGACUGGAAUUCCUGGUGUAGCGGUGAAAUGCGCAGAUAUCAGGAGGAACACCGGUGGCGAAGGCGGGUCUCUGGGCAGUAACUGACGCUGAGGAGCGAAAGCGUGGGGAGCGAACAGG
rnacentral:rRNA from 1 species